GCGGUGUUUGUCUGCCGGACUGACGGGCGGCCGGGCGGUGCGCGGCGGCGGUGGCGGCGGGGAAGAUGGCGGCGUCCUCCCUGGAGCAGAAGCUGUCCCGCCUGGAAGCAAAGCUGAAGCAGGAGAACCGGGAGGCCCGGCGGAGGAUCGACCUCAACCUGGAUAUCAGCCCCCAGCGGCCCAGGCCCACCCUGCAGCUCCCGCUGGCCAACGAUGGGGGCAGCCGCUCGCCAUCCUCAGAGAGCUCCCCGCAGCACCCCACGCCCCCUGCCCGGCCCCGCCACAUGCUGGGGCUCCCGUCAACCCUGUUCACACCCCGCAGCAUGGAGAGCAUUGAGAUUGACCAGAAGCUGCAGGAGAUCAUGAAGCAGACGGGCUACCUGACCAUCGGGGGCCAGGUACCACCUUCACUGUGGCGGGGAGAGGGAGGAGGCCCAGCCAGGCUGGACCCAUCCUGGGGGCGCCAGUGGGGGGCAGGGGGCGGUGGCAGAGGCCCCAGGGACUUUCCAACCCUCCCUCUCCUCCCAGCGCUACCAGGCAGAAAUCAACGACCUGGAGAACUUGGGCGAGAUGGGCAGCGGCACCUGCGGCCAGGUGUGGAAGAUGCGCUUCCGGAAGACCGGCCACGUCAUUGCUGUUAAGGUGAGCCUUGGUGGCUACCCCGGCUGCGCCCCACACCCCAGGCCGGUGCUAAGGCUCCCUCCUGUCCCUGUCUGUGCAGCAAAUGCGGCGCUCGGGGAACAAGGAGGAGAACAAGCGCAUCCUCAUGGACCUGGACGUGGUGCUCAAGAGCCACGACUGCCCCUACAUCGUGCAGUGCUUUGGGACGUUCAUCACCAACACGGAUGUCUUCAUCGCCAUGGAGCUCAUGGGUACCUGCGCUGAAAAGCUGAAGAAGCGGAUGCAGGGCCCCAUCCCCGAGCGCAUCCUGGGCAAGAUGACAGUGGCGAUUGUGAAGGCGCUGUACUACCUGAAGGAGAAGCACGGUGUCAUCCACCGCGACGUCAAGCCCUCCAACAUCCUGCUGGACGAGCGGGGCCAGAUCAAGCUCUGUGACUUCGGCAUCAGCGGCCGCCUGGUGGACUCCAAAGCCAAGACGCGGAGCGCUGGCUGCGCCGCCUACAUGGCACCCGAGCGCAUUGACCCCCCAGACCCCACCAAGCCGGACUAUGACAUCCGGGCCGACGUAUGGAGCCUGGGCAUCUCGUUGGUGGAGCUGGCAACGGGACAGUUUCCCUACAAGAACUGCAAGACGGACUUUGAGGUCCUCACCAAAGUCCUACAGGAAGAGCCCCCGCUUCUGCCCGGACACAUGGGCUUCUCAGGGGACUUCCAGUCCUUCGUCAAAGACUGCCUUACUAAAGAUCACAGGAAGAGACCAAAGUAUAAUAAGCUACUUGAACACAGUUUCAUCAAGCGCUACGAGACGCUGGAGGUGGACGUGGCGUCCUGGUUCAAGGAUGUCAUGGCGAAGACUGAGUCACCGCGGACUAGCGGCGUCCUGAGCCAGCCCCACCUGCCCUUCUUCAGGUAGCUGCUUGGUGGCGGCCAGCCCCACAGGGGGCCAGGGGCAUGGCCACAGGCCCCCCUCCCCACUUGGCCACCCAGCUGCCUGCCAGGGGAGACCUGGGACCUGGACGGCCACCGAGGGCUGAGGACAGAGAGUGG
rnacentral:sRNA from 1 species